rnacentral:lncRNA from 1 species
AGCCCAAUACACGAGAGGGGGACUAUAUAAGAAUCAAUGAAGCUGUCACUAUCACGAACCACCCCACGAUCUGGCAUUGGGUACAAUCGCAGAUAAAUACGGUAUAAGCACCACGCCUACACAAUAUCUAUCAUUUACCCAUGGAUCCGAUGGAUAAACGCUAUACGAUCCUAAGCAUGUAUAUAGAUCCAACCUAACUAAGCCAAGUACAUAACUAUGAUAAAUUAAGAACAAUAUAAUCUUGAAUAUAAGCAAGUAGAGCAAAGUCAUAAGCAAUAU